rnacentral:rRNA from 1 species
GAUGAACGCUGGCGGCGUGCCUAAUACAUGCAAGUCGAGCGAACAGACGAGGAGCUUGCUCCUUUGACGUUAGCGGCGGACGGGUGAGUAACACGUGGGUAACCUACCUAUAAGACUGGGAUAACUUCGGGAAACCGGAGCUAAUACCGGAUAAUAUUUCGAACCGCAUGGUUCGAUAGUGAAAGAUGGCUUUGCUAUCACUUAUAGAUGGACCUGCGCCGUAUUAGCUAGUUGGUAAGGUAACGGCUUACCAAGGCAACGAUAGGUAGCCGACCUGAGAGGGUGAUCGGCCACACUGGAACUGAGACACGGUCCAGACUCCUACGGGAGGCAGCAGUAGGGAAUCUUCCGCAAUGGGCGAAAGCCUGACGGAGCAACGCCGCGUGAGUGAUGAAGGUCUUCGGAUCGUAAAACUCUGUUAUUAGGGAAGAACAAACGUGUAAGUAACUGUGCACGUCUUGACGGUACCUAAUCAGAAAGCCACGGCUAACUACGUG